rnacentral:rRNA from 1 species
UACGUAGGGUCCGAGCGUUGUCCGGAAUUACUGGGCGUAAAGAGCUCGUAGGUGGUUUGUCGCGUUGUUCGUGAAAACUCACAGCUCAACUGUGGGCGUGCGGGCGGUACGGGCAGACUUGAGUACUGCAGGGGAGACUGGAAUUCCUGGUGUAGCGGUGAAAUGCGCAGAUAUCAGGAGGAACACCGAUGGCGAAGGCAGGUCUCUGGGCAUUAACUGACGCUGAGGAGCGAAAGCAUGGGGAGCGAACAGG